rnacentral:rRNA from 1 species
GACGAACGCUGGCGGCGUGCUUAACACAUGCAAGUCGAACGGAAAGGCCCUGCUUUUGUGGGGUGCUCGAGUGGCGAACGGGUGAGUAGCACGUGAGUAACCUGCCCUUGACUUUGGGAUAACUUCAGGAAACUGGGGCUAAUACCGGAUAGGAGCUCCUGCUGCAUGGUGGGGGUUGGAAAGUUUCGGCGGUUGGGGAUGGACUCGCGGCUUAUCAGCUUGUUGGUGGGGUAGUGGCUUACCAAGGCUUUGACGGGUAGCCGGCCUGAGAGGGUGACCGGCCACAUUGGGACUGAGAGACGGCCCAGACGCCUACGGGAGGCAGCAGUGGGGAAUAUUGCACAAUGGGCGGAAGCCUGAUGCAGCAACGCCGCGUGCGGGAUGACGGCCUUCGGGUUGUAAACCGCUUUCGCCUGUGACGAAGCGUGAGUGACGGUAAUGGGUAAAGAAGCACCGGCUAACUACGUG